rnacentral:rRNA from 1 species
AGCACGGACUUCGGUCUGGUGGCGAGUGGCGAACGGGUGAGUAAUGUAUCGGAACGUGCCCAGUAGCGGGGGAUAACUACGCGAAAGCGUAGCUAAUACCGCAUACGCCCUACGGGGGAAAGCAGGGGAUCGUAAGACCUUGCACUAUUGGAGCGGCCGAUAUCGGAUUAGCUAGUUGGUGGGGUAACGGCUCACCAAGGCGACGAUCCGUAGCUGGUUUGAGAGGACGACCAGCCACACUGGGACUGAGACACGGCCCAGACUCCUACGGGAGGCAGCAGUGGGGAAUUUUGGACAAUGGGGGAAACCCUGAUCCAGCCAUCCCGCGUGUGCGAUGAAGGCCUUCGGGUUGUAAAGCACUUUUGGCAGGAAAGAAACGUCAUGGGUUAAUACCCCGUGAAACUGACGGUACCUGCAGAAUAAGCACCGGCUAACUACGUGCCAGCAGCCGCGGUAAUACGUAGGGUGCAAGCGUUAAUCGGAAUUACUGGGCGUAAAGCGUGCGCAGGCGGUUCGGAAAGAAAGAUGUGAAAUCCCAGAGCUUAACUUUGGAACUGCAUUUUUAACUACCGGGCUAGAGUGUGUCAGAGGGAGGUGGAAUUCCGCGUGUAGCAGUGAAAUGCGUAGAUAUGCGGAGGAACACCGAUGGCGAAGGCAGCCUCCUGGGAUAACACUGACGCUCAUGCACGAAAGCGUGGGGAGCAGACAGGAUUAGAUACCCUGGUAGUCCACGCCCUAAACGAUGUCAACUAGCUGUUGGGGCCUUCGGGCCUUGGUAGCGCAGCUAACGCGUGAAGUUGACCGCCUGGGGAGUACGGUCGCAAGAUUAAAACUCAAAGGAAUUGACGGGGACCCGCACAAGCGGUGGAUGAUGUGGAUUAAUUCGAUGCAACGCGAAAAACCUUACCUACCCUUGACAUGUCUGGAAUG